rnacentral:rRNA from 1 species
GGCCAGACUCCUACGGGAGGCAGCAGUGGGGGAUAUUGCACAAUGGGGGAAACCCUGAUGCAGCGACGCCGCGUGGGCGAAGAAGUAUUUCGGUAUGUAAAGCCCUAUCAGCAGGGAAGAAGAAAUGACGGUACCUGAGUAAGAAGCACCGGCUAAAUACGUGCCAGCAGCCGCGGUAAUACGUAUGGUGCAAGCGUUAUCCGGAUUUACUGGGUGUAAAGGGAGCGUAGACGGCGGCGCAAGUCUGAAGUGAAAGCCCGUGGCUCAACCGCGGAACCGCUUUGGAAACUGCGAGGCUGGAGUGCUGGAGAGGUAAGCGGAAUUCCUGGUGUAGCGGUGAAAUGCGUAGAUAUCAGGAGGAACACCGGUGGCGAAGGCGGCUUACUGGACAGUGACUGACGUUGAGGCUCGAAAGCGUGGGGAGCGAACAGGAUUAGAUACCCUUGUA